rnacentral:rRNA from 1 species
CCUACGGGGGGCAGCAGUGAGGAAUAUUGGUCAAUGGACGAGAGUCUGAACCAGCCAAGUAGCGUGAAGGAUGACUGCCCUAUGGGUUGUAAACUUCUUUUAUAUGGGAAUAAAAUGUUCCACGUGUGGGAUUUUGUAUGUACCAUAUGAAUAAGGAUCGGCUAACUCCGAGCCAGCAGCCGCGGUAAUACGGAGGAUCCGAGCGUUAUCCGGAUUUAUUGGGUUUAAAGGGAGCGUAGGUGGAUUGUUAAGUCAGUUGUGAAAGUUUGCGGCUCAACCGUAAAAUUGCAGUUGAAACUGGCAGUCUUGAGUACAGUAGAGGUGGGCGGAAUUCGUGGUGUAGCGGUGAAAUGCUUAGAUAUCACGAAGAACUCCGAUUGCGAAGGCAGUUCACUGGACUGCAACUGACACUGAGGCUCGAAAGUGUGGGUAUCAAACAGGAUUAGAUACCCGGGUAGUC